CUUUGACCUCGAAUCAGGUGGGACUACCCGCUGAACUU
rnacentral:rRNA from 1 species